rnacentral:lncRNA from 1 species
AAAAAAGGACGAAAACAGAGGCCUCUGGAAAGUGCUGGCAAGUUCUAGACUUCAUCAUUUCUGGAACUCGCACGAGACCACCGGAAUUUUCCUCUCGCACUAUAAAUUAACCUCCUCCUUCACCGAAUUCCCCAUCAACCAAUUCGAGUGAUACAUCCCAAUUUCUCAGCAAUCAAACAAUCGCACAUUUUAAUUCUCUUCAGUAGAAAGCUAAAAAUGUCUCUGAUUCCGAGCUUCUUCGGCAACCGCCGCAGCAACGUCUUCGACCCAUUUUCUCUCGAUAUUUGGGAUCCCUUCGAGGGGUUUCCUCUCUCCAGCGCCGUCGCCAACUUCCCCUCCUCCGCCCGUGAAACCACCGCGGUGGCCAACGCCCGCAUCGACUGGAAGGAGACGCCGGAGGCCCAUCUCUUCAAGGUGGAUGUUCCCGGAUUGAAGAAAGAGGAAGUCAAGGUC